CUACGGGCGGCUCCAGUGAGGAAUAUUGCACAAUGGGGGGAACCCUGAUGCAGCAACGCCGCGUGGAGGAUGACGCAUUUCGGUGUGUAAACUCCUUUUAUAUGUCAAGAAAAUGACGGUAGCAUAUGAAUAAGCACCGGCUAACUCCGUGCCAGCAGCCGCGGUAAUACGGAGGGUGCAAGCGUUACUCGGAAUCACUGGGCGUAAAGGACGCGUAGGCGGGUUGGAAAGUCAGGUGUGAAAUCCUACAGCUUAACUGUAGAACUGCACUUGAAACUUCUAAUCUAGAGUAUGGGAGGGGGAGAUGGAAUUAGUGGUGUAGGGGCAAAAUCCGUAGAUAUCACUAGGAAUACCUAAAGCGAAGGCGAUCUCCUGGAACAUAACUGACGCUAAGGCGUGAAAGCGUGGGGAGCAAACAGGAUUAGAUACCCUUGUAGUC
rnacentral:rRNA from 1 species